GGCAUAACGAGGGUUUAACUGUCUCUUUUUUUCGGUCAAUGAAACUGAUCUGCCCGUGCAGAAGCGGGCAUACCCACACAAGACGAGAAGACCCUAUGGAGCUUUAGACGCUCACCAACCACUAAAAGAGACCCGAUCUAACGGGCUUUCAAACAAUGUGGCCCUGGUAUAAACGUCUUCGGUUGGGGCGACCGCGGAGGAGAGAAAAGCCUCCGAGAGGAUUGGGGGAAACCCUAAAACCAAGAGCCACAGCUCUAAGUCACAAAAUAUUUGACCGACAACGAUCCGGCUUCUUGCCGAUCAACGGACCAAGUUACCCUAGGGAUAACAGCGCAAUCCCCUCCCAGAGUCCAUAUCGACGAGGGGGUUUACGACCUCGAUGUUGGAUCAGGACAUCCUAAUGGUGCAGCCGCUAUUAAGGGUUCGUUUGUUCAACGAUUA
rnacentral:rRNA from 1 species